AAAUACAUAAAAAUAUGUUAAAAAUAUAUUUAAAAAUAUACUAAAUGCAUUUACAGCCUAUUAUUAUCGUGAAAAGCAUAACUAUUAGUGUUUCCAAUGUGACUCAUUAUAGGUAAUUUAGAAAUAAAUUACUGGCAACCCCAAAAAAAUACAUUGACUUUUUCAUUGUUUUCUUUCUCCGAUUGCCGGGAAAAAAUUCGAUGGUGAUAAAUACGAUACGAAAGAUCUUAAAUUAUCCGUGAUAGCUACUUGCUUACAAAGGUUUUCAUUACACAAGUUUUCCUAUAAGAUGCAAACAUAACCUUAAAACAUCAGCCAGCAAGUUACCUAUAUGAAACACAACACCUGCAUCAACAAGUAUGAAAGGAUCCAGUCACAUUCCCGUUCAGACUAUCUAAGUUACCUAAACAGAAGAACUAAAUUGAAACCCAGGAAGGAUUAUAAAAUCUUGUCUUCUCGAAGCAACCUCUUCCAAGACUCGUCAGUGCAUAUAAUAAACAAGAUUAUUAUAUUUCAUACAAAAGAACUUUGAUAGAUACAUGUGACUAUGUUAUAAAAUGAAAUAAAGCUUCUCUAAAU